ensembl:lncRNA
CUCCUUUCUGUCUCUUUUUUUCCUUGCCUUUUAGUUUCUGGCUUAAAUAUCUCCUUAGCUAAAACUUCUCUAAGAAAUAAAACCUGGUAAGGUGAGCCUCUUAUGCAGUCAAAUGCUCUACACCUGAAUUCUCCCAUCAGUGAUGGAUGAGCACUGAGAUGGCCCAUCUGCCAGCAUCUACCCAAGGUAAGGAAGAUGGUGAAAGACAGGAAAUCUGGGGGAUGGUGAAGAACAGGGAAGCCUGGUGUACUGCAAUGCUUGGGGUCACAAAGAGUUGGACACGACUGAGAGACUGAACAACAAGGAAAGUUCAACUUUGCACAGUCUCAUUGUAUGAAUACAUGUUAUAAUAAAAUGCCAUUUUUGACUAUCA